rnacentral:rRNA from 1 species
UACGAGGGGAGCAAGCGUUGUUCGGAUUUACUGGGCGUAAAGGGCGCGUAGGCGGCCACGACAAGUCACUUGUGAAAUCUCCGGGCUUAACUCGGAACGGUCAAGUGAUACUGUCGGGCUAGAGUGCAGAAGGGGCUACUGGAAUUCUCGGUGUAGCGGUGAAAUGCGUAGAUAUCGAGAGGAACACCUGCGGCGAAGGCGGGUAGCUGGGCCGACACUGACGCUGAGGCGCGAAAGCCAGGGGAGCGAACGGG